GAUGUUAAUUCAAAUUGUGGUUUAAAUAGCUUGUCAAAACAAGUUCGCUUGCUGAGAUGUUUCAUCUCACCCUUGCUUUACUCAAUCCAGGUACUUGAUGCUUACUUGGAAGGGAAGGGAAUUAGCUGCACGUCACACACUUCUUCAUUUAGAGACCUUGUGUUUUAAUAAAUAAUAAUUUGGUUUGCUUAUUAGUUUUGAAGGCGGUUGUUAAAGUGUGGAUGUUAAACUUAAUUCUUGUUGAAGUAAUUUAUUUGCGUUAGGAUGUUCAUUAAUCCUAGUUUGGUAUUUCAUUUAUUUUUAUAUUUUAUUCUUCCGCUUGCUAUAAAUACAAAGGAGAUGCUGCCAAAUUGUUUAUUGGUUGUGUGCAGCUGUUGUUUGUGUAGUCUAGUAGCAUCCGGGUGUAUUUGUGGUUUUCGGGGUGUUACACCACAUGUCUAUCUAGGGUUUUGGUUCAUCCAUUUAUUCGUCCCAAAUUGUACUCUGUUUCGAGCCCAGUGGCCAUGGUUGCAACUGAAUCUAGUGAUGAGAAGGUGAUGGGCGAAUUGAUGUCCAUUUUUUCCUGAAUCUGGAGCCUAGCGCGUAUGCAUGUUGCUUUUUCCCGUGCUACCAUGCUGGUGCGUCUCUUCUGAGAUGGCUAUAGAGGCCUUGGGCGUAUGCCCCACUCAGUUCUUUACAAUGCAACAUAUUUGCUUGAAUUAAGUGAACAUAGGUAUGACAGAUUGUUUGCUUUUUUCCUAAUUUUAUUUUAUUUUGUAUUUUACCGUAGCAGCUAAUGGUUUAGGGUUUUGGCUCAUCCCCACUUUAUUUAGCAUGU
rnacentral:lncRNA from 1 species